CCUAUUUUACCCCUCGAGCUAUACUUUUGCUCAAGCCAAUGCCCCACAUCUUUCGAGAGGACCUCUAGUAUGCUAAUGCAUCAUUACAAAGCAAUAUAUGGCAUGCUCAUGUGGGAAAUGUGAGCAGCCCUUCUGAAACUUGUUUUUGGCAGAAAUUUGACAUUGAAUUGCAACUGGUAGCUACACACCUCUCCAUGAUCUAAAACUUGGCAGCGUUGUAGUUCUUCCAUUCCUAAGACUACUAGACAAAGUUUUAUUUCAAAACACUCCCAGUAAAAAUACUUGUGCUGGCCUAAAGUUUGAUGUUGCAAACUUAAUUAGAGAGGAAGUCCCACCUGCAUUCCCCCAC
rnacentral:lncRNA from 1 species